rnacentral:rRNA from 1 species
UACGUAGGGUGCAAGCGUUAAUCGGAAUUACUGGGCGUAAAGCGUGCGCAGGCGGUUCUAUAAGACAGAUGUGAAAUCCCCGGGCUCAACCUGGGAACUGCAUUUGUGACUGUAGAGCUGGAGUACGGCAGAGGGGGAUGGAAUUCCGCGUGUAGCAGUGAAAUGCGUAGAUAUCAGGAGGAAUACCGAUGGCGAAGGCAGGUCUCUGGGCUGACACUGACGCUCAUGCACGAAAGCGUGGGGAGCAAACAGG